CAACCAUGUUGUGGAUAUCAUUUCAAAAAAUCUUUGAAACUUUUCCAAGCUUCAUGCAAAGGUUUAAACUCCUUUUGUAAAAAUUAGCUUAUUUUGUCUCUCAAUUG